GAGAGAGAGAGAGAGAAUCUGAACACCACUAUGGCAAUUUAAAUUACUCAUUCAAAACUUUUUCUUUGUUCCACAAGUGUGUGCCAGCAGCCUGGGUGUGAAUGCCAUUUAAACUUUUUUUUUUCAAGUCCAUAUCAAGAAACUGGUCUAAGGUCAAGCAAACAUCAAGAGCACAAACAAUAAGCAGCAGCAGCAGCAGGUGGCAUCAACUGCAUCAAGAAAGAACAUCAUCAUCAUCAUCAUCAUUGUCUAACACUUGAUAGCCACACAGUGGGGAGCUGACCUGCACUUCCUAACAAGGCUGACUUCACCACCUACUGCUGUGGUGAGUAAUACCUUGUUGGUCUGGAGCAGUGAGAAGCUGACCUGCACUUCCUAAGCAAGGCUGACUACAUCAUCAUGUUGUCUGGAGCAUUGACAAGCUGAUCUGCACUUCCUAGCAUGGCUGACUACACCAGAUACUACUGUGGUAAGUAGUAUCUGCUGUCUGGAGCACUGGGAACCUGAGGUGAUUAUCUUGUUGCCUGGAGCAUUGACAAGGUGAUCUCCACUUCCUAGUAAUGCUGACUACACCACUUACUACAGUGAGGUGACUAAUACCUUGUGUCCUGGACCACUGAGAGGCUGACCUGCACCCAGCCCUAAGAGACAAUAAAUCCACACCAGUGUGCCAGCAGUGAACCCCCGACAGGACAAUUGGGCACACAGCACUGACCUAGCCAGGCCAAGGUCAGUUUUCAUCACACCUGCCUGUCCCACCACAGUGUCACCACCUGUGCUGCUCACCGGCCACAGGACCAGCAGUGCACACCCGCUGCUGCACACACAAGGCCCAGCAGUGCCAAACACAACACAGAAUGGCCAGAGUACAGAUAAUGCAGUACACUUGCUAGUUAUGUAUGAACAGGUGUCUUGUACACACACAACAAUGCCAAGUGUUCACCGCCAGGCAGGAAGUUCCCUAAAUAGGGCGAGACAUCUAAAUAUAGAUAGAAACUACCUUGCUUUCUUGAUAUCAUGCUGGGGUCUUGCACUUGUAUGUACUUAACAGAAUUAUAAGUAUCCAAGCAAU